GGCCCCGUAGCUCAGCGGUCAGAGCGCCCGACUCAUAAUCGGUGUGGUCGUCGGUUCGAAUCCGACCGGGGCUA
rnacentral:tRNA from 1 species